AGGGGUUACCUGGAUAUAUGAUGCUGCAGUACACAUAUAUUUAUCUAACUAAAAUUAAGCCCACCACUUCCCGCUCUCAUAUUACUUCAGAAUCAUCAGUAUGAGAAAACAUUGAUACCCAUUACUUUAUACUGAUAAACUCCAUGCUCCGAGACAAGGUUGCACACGUCAUCGCCGACAAUUCCCUUCUCUUCUCGAAUCAACAUAUAACCAUGUUUUUAUCUUACAAGAGAAGGGAAUCCUCGCAAUCUGCUAGAUACAACAAGGUACUUUUGUAUGACGUGCCUGAGCCAUCAAUUUGCCGGUCCUUUUCUUCCUGAAACCAACAGAGACAACACCGACUGAUUUUCCAGCACGCAAUAGCUUCCCCUCAACUUCUAUUUCUUCCUGUAAAAAUAAAAGAAAUAGUUUACGGCAUGUCAAAUAACUAUUAAAAUAACAUAAGAGUGAAAAGACAAAGGUAUGUACAAAAUUAAUCAAGCCUUAUGAUGCUAUUCUAGCAAGAAACUGGCCAAAUCUGCCCUUUGGGGGGUAGGGGUGGGGGCAAAAAUUAUGAGAAAAGAUAACGCCCAUAUGUGUGGGUGUUUGCAAACCGUCCACACGCAUGAAUCUGCGUCUGUUUGUGCUUUGCAUUAAUCUUGGUAUUUUUUGAUAGUUUUUCUGUACCACGUAGGACUGAACUGGUGUGUCGGUAUUUAACCACUUCGCCCACACGGCCGUUUCUUUCUCAGCAGGAAUCUUUUUUGGUUUUCGGUUUAAAAAUGUUUUAUCAUGACAACUUCAGUGUAACAUCAUGACAACUGUUGAAGCACCCAUUUUUUUAAAUGUAACAUCAUGGCAACUGUUGUAACAUCAUGAAAUUUUUUUAAAUGUAGAAGAAAAAAUAGGUGAAACAUAUCAUGGCAACUUCAGUGUAAACACCAUGGCAUGGCAACUACAGUGUAACAUCAUGGCAACUGUUGUCCAAAAAAAUAAUUUAUCGAAAUAUAUUGAUAUGAGAUCUAGUUUCGAAGAUCUCGUCGCGAUGGAUUUAAUGAUAAAAACGGAUCUUCAAUCGGAUUUUUCAUUUACAAGAUAAAACAUUUUAAAAACUCAAAAUCCAAAAAGAUACCCACAUGCAUACAUGUGGUUUGGGCGUUAGCUAUUUUGCCCACACUCAGGCGUGUGAGCUAUUUCUCUUACACACCACACAAGAUGUAUGGGCAACACCCCUUAACACCCAGACGUGUGGGUGUUAUCAGGACCCAAAAUUAUAACCAAGCAACCUGAAAAGUACGUUUGGAUUUUUCAGAGCAAUAUUUGGACAACAUGACAAUAACUAUGAUCCUGAACUAAUUCUAGGAACCUCUUCAGAGCAAUAUCUGAACAAGAUGACAAUAAUUCAGAUCCUAAACUUAUUCUAGGAAACAUUUUGUACCCAGCUCCAGUCUGUAUUGAGCGAGUCAAAGGAAACAAAAAAUGAAUAACACCGUGUAAAUGCAGGCGCACUGAAUUCAACCAUCUUUUCUAAUUAGUACACACUUAUAUUCCUAUAAUAUUAAAAUGACUGGACGGUAAGAAGUGGUGGACCUUUUAUCUUGCCAAUUGAGAAAUAUUCAGUCGAGUAACAGACAAAAAAGAUCUCCACAUUUGAUCUGAACCAAUGAGAAAAGAGGGUCGUGUAUUUAACAUAGGUUCUGAAGUACGAGAAGAAUGCUCACCAAUUUGUUUCAGAUUCGAACUGAAUGCAUAAUAUCUUAGAUCGCGCAACCUAAGGUAAUGCAAAGAAAUAAAAUCAUACUAUUUAGGCAAUCCAAAUAGGCAUUGUAUGUACAGAAAAAUCAAAGGCGAAAUAGCAAAACAUCCAUGAAACUAAGCCAGUCACAUGAUGAUCAUAUUAAUGUCCACCUACAGCGGCCAAGUUUAGAAACCCCAAACGAGUGAGCAGAUGAAGCCAAGAAAAAGAAACACACUGAAGGGGAUCGGGAGACAGGGCCACCUACAUCGACCAAGUUUAGAAACCCCAAACAUGUGAGCAGAUCAAGCCAAGAAAAAAAAACACGAAAGGAGAUCGGGAGACACGACGGAGAC
rnacentral:lncRNA from 1 species